rnacentral:rRNA from 1 species
UUCCCAGCGGGGCGAAGCCGCGUCGCGAGGCGCGGUGGACUGCUGGGAAGUGAGAAUGCCGGCAUGAGUAGCGAGAGGCGGGUGAGAAUCCCGCCCCCCGGAUGCCCAAGGUUUCCUGGGGAAGGCUCGUCCGCCCAGGGUUAGGCGGGACCUAAGGUGAACCCGAAAGGGGUAGCCGAUGGGCAGCCGGUUAAUAUUCCGGCCCCUCCGGGUCCGCGCUACGAGCGAAGGGGUGACGCCGCAGGACUAUCCCCGCGGGCUUACGGCUAUGCCCGUCCAAGCGUCAAGCCAGGGGGAGGAGGCAAAUCCCCUCCCCCGCUACGGCGAGGCGUGAUGGCGAGCCGCUUAACGCGGCGAAGGGGGAUGGGUUCAGCGGCCGAGAAAAGCCUCUAGCCAGUGGGCCCGGAGCCCGUACCGCAAACCGACACAGGUGGGCGAGGGGAGUACCCACAGGGGGGCGAGAUAACCCCGGUCAAGGAACUCGGCAAAUUGCCCCCGUAACCUCGGGAGAAGGGGGGCCCUCGCCGUGGCCAGGGAUCCUCUUGGCUGCGGUUGGGGGCCGCAGAGAAUCGGCCCAGGCGACUGUUUACCAAAAACACAGGUCCCUGCUAACCCGUAAGGGGACGUAUAGGGGCUGAAACCUGGCCACUGCCGGUAGGUCAAGGGGAGGGGUGCAAGCCCCGAACCGAAGCCCCGGUGAAGGCCGGCCGUAACUAUAACGGUCCUAAGGUAGCGAAGUACCUUGUCGGGUAAGUUCCGACCUGCAUGAAAGGAACAACGACCUGGGCACUGUCUUGACCGGGGGCUCGGUGAACUUGAAGCGCCGGUGAAGAUGCCGGCGACCCGCGGUGGGACAGAAAGACCCCGUGGAGCUUUACUGCAGCCUGGUGUUGGGUCUUGGUCGUUGAUGUAGAGGAUAGGUGGGAGGCUGAGAAGCUCGGGCGCCAGCCCGGGUGGAGCCGCCGGUGGAAUACCACCCUUCAACGACUGAGGCUCUAACCAGGGGCCGUUAGCAGCGGUUCCGGGACAGCGCCAGGUGGGCAGUUUUGCUGGGGCGGCAGCCUCCUAAAGGGUAACGGAGGCGCCCAAAGGUCCCCUCAGGCGGGUUAGCGAUCCGCCGUGGAGUGCAAGGGCAGACAGGGGGCUUGACUGCGAGGCCUACAAGCCGAGCAGGGGCGAAAGCCGGGCCUAGUGACCCACCGGCUCCUCGUGGUAGGGCCGGUGAUCAGCGGAUAAAAGUUACCCCGGGGAUAACAGGCUGGUCCCGCCCGAGAGUUCACAUCGACGGCGGGGUUCGGCACCUCGAUGUCGGCUCACCCCAUCCUGGGGCUGCACCAGGUCCCAAGGGUUGGGCUGUUCGCCCAUCAAAGGGGUUCAUGAGCUGGGUUCAGACCGUCGUGAGACAGGUCGGUCCCUAUCUACCGCGGGCGCAGGAGGCUUGAGGGGGUCCGCUCUCAGUACGAGAGGACCGGAGCGGCUGGGCCGCUGGUGUACCAGUUGUCCCGCCCGGGGCACAGCUGGGUAGCUAAGCCCAGAUCGGAUAAGGGCUGAAGGCAUCUAAGCUCGAAGCCGACCCCAAGAUGAGGCCUCCCCAUCAGGGCCCUUCGAGACCAGGAGGUUGAUAGGCCGCAGGUGGAAGCCCGGUGACGGGUGGAGCCGAGCGGUACUAAUAGCCCGAUCGACUUGCGUA